rnacentral:rRNA from 1 species
UACGGAGGGAGCUAGCGUUGUUCGGAAUUACUGGGCGUAAAGCGCACGUAGGCGGCUUUGUAAGUUAGAGGUGAAAGCCCGGGGCUCAACUCCGGAACUGCCUUUAAGACUGCAUCGCUUGAAUCCAGGAGAGGUGAGUGGAAUUCCGAGUGUAGAGGUGAAAUUCGUAGAUAUUCGGAAGAACACCAGUGGCGAAGGCGGCUCACUGGAGCUGGUAUUGACGCUGAGGUGCGAAAGCGUGGGGAGCAAACAGG